UCACACCUCGCUCCCGCGCCGGCAGGUAGGCCCGUCAUGUUCGCCGGCGAGGAAGGCAGGGCUUCCAGAUCCGGCAACGGCGGCCUCCUCGCUGGUGGAUUGUCGGUUGCCCGGACGAGAGGGGUGCAAUGACGAGAGUGGUGCAAGCCACUGCACCCUCUCCUCCUCUUUCAUCUCAUCUCCACGUUAGCCUCUCUCUCACCCUAUCCUCUAUGCCUGAUGCGGUCCCAGGUCCGAUUCCCUCGAUUUUCCAAUGGCGGAUUCGGUCGUGGCCCUCUUCGGCAAUACAACGCUGCUCUCCACCCUCUUCCUCCCGUUCUCUACGCCGCUCACCUCCCCUCGGUGCCAGAUCCAGCUCAGGGGCUGCUGGAUUUGGUACGAGGAGGACACGUGCCGACCGGUUUCAAGGAGGAUGGGGAGAGCAAGAGCAGCAGCUUGGGCACCAAAGCCAUGACGGCGGCAAGGCAUGGGCUAUGGCAAAGUAUGGCGACGACGGCAGAAAGGCACAGACUAUGGCAAGGUCUGGACAGUCUUCUCUCGGGUGUACAUGUGGUCGUCAGAUUGCUCAUCACAUUAUUAUAGUUCCAUGAUACAUGCCGGUUAUUUUUGUUGUUAUAGUGAGUGUAAAGGUGUGCAAACGGGAAAUGAGUAGCGCUGUCAGCAAGAAAUAGAACACACUAAACAUGGACUUGAAUCUGGAAGUAUUACAUAUGACCCGGCAAAGCUUAAAUUUUCUGAUGACAUCAAAGAUUCUCGGUGAACCUGACAAUCCUGACAUAUUAUUGCAUCCAGCGUUCCAAUUUGGCCAGUCCAAAGGUACCAUUUGUUUAUAUCUCCAUUUUUACUAGCUCACUUUCCUGAUAUAUGUAUGAUAGAUCAUUAGGUUGGCAGUUCUUCCUGCCUUCUUUGCAUUUUAGUUCUCAGUGUAUUUUCUCUAUAUUCUUGAUCUAUACAUGGACUCGGAAUAAGGUGUUCACCCUAAAUAAGGAGGGAGGUCAGUACAUUUUUCCUACCUUAAAAAUCUGAAGUAUGGUUGAACAUUGUAUUAGAUGAUAUUCAGAUAAUAUUGUUAGUUUAUAACAAGCCAGUUGGUUUAUACUUAAGCCACUUGGUUAAUGCAAAGCUAUAUAUUCUAUAAUUCCUUUAUUUCUUACCAAGGAAUGCGAAUGUGCCAGUAUGUUCCUUCCAGUGCAUUUGCCUCUGUUUGAUUUUUUAUUGAUUUGUUGCUCCCCUAUUUUUGCCCCUAUAUUUAUUUGGAUACUGGAGUUCAUUUUCAAAGAGAUGAACCUCAUGGUCUUCAGGCUUCAGUUUAGACAGAUAAUUGUGGCGUCUUUAAAGUAACGAUGUUAUAUUGAGGUACAAGUCUUUUAGCCAUCAUAUCUGGAGUAGGCUCCAUUAUCCCGGGAAUUAUAUUGAAACAACUACAAUGGUUAAAAAUAUAUAUAUUUCAGUUCGAGAUUUUGAUAUUGGCCAGAAUUUAAUAGACCACAAAUACACAUUUUUACGAUCUCUUCAUUAUCUCAGUUCAAGCUCUUUGUAUAACAAGAUAAUUGGCAGCAUGUUGAGACAUGCCCUAAAUAUAGAUGGUAGUAUCAAUACCAGAUAUAAAUGGCUAAAAUUGUUGAUAUGAAUAGUCCAAUGUUUUCUUUUUUUUAUCUACAUUUUGGGCAUUUAGAUAGUAUUUACUAUUUUAGAAUGCAAUAUAUAUAUAUGUAGCACUGUGAGCAGAGACAGAUCAAGAGAUGCAAUGUCUGUAGUAGAUUCAUACUCUUCUCAAUUGUUAUCACCAGGUUGAGAAAUCACCAACUUUAGUAUGUGCUUAUGGGUUAUGUGUUCUUGAUAUUAACCAUCUUAUUUAUGAUCUCCUUUUAUUCUCUGAUGGUACCAAUCAAUAUUAUUAAUGGUUUGUCUUUUCUGAAAGUCCUUUGUUUGUAGUUAACUAGAUAACCAAAAAGAUUGGAGCUGAUGGCAUAUGGGAUUCCAAAAAAUGCCCAUGCUAUAUAUGUGGAGUCUGGAGAUAUGUUUUUUUUACAGGAAUCUGGAGAUGAGUAUAUAUUUUGUUCACCAGAUGAAUGUGUCAUGUGCCAGCCGUGUGCAAUCAUUAUUGAAACGGACUCAAAAUUUCAGGGAAAAAUUUUUGCGAAUUAUUUUUAAGUCAUGCUCUUCUCGAUUCUUGCGUUGGAGUGAUAUUGCUUUUAAUCUUUUCUUUUAUUUUGGACAUAAACUUUAAUUGCAAAGUUAAUCGCUCUUUUAAAUUUUAUAAAACCUUUCCAUUUAUUUUCUGUAAUCUCUAACUUUGGCUCUAAAUUAUAUUUCCUUUGAAUCCAUUCCCGAACACCUCCAACAAAUACCCUUUCAAUUCCCGUUCAACCAUCUCUAGAGCACAUGAAAUAUCAAUUUCUCUAGAGUUAAUACCUUUUUAUUUAGAGUUUACCACACUACCACCAAUUUUAGUUUUAUCUUCCACAAAUAUUUCCCCUUUGAAAUAUCGUUUAUCUAAAUUAUCCAUUCAAGAUUUCAAAGUCUAUUAUUUAGCUUGGGCCAAUAUUUCCCCGAUUGACCCGACUCUCUGUUAUAUCCCAUUAACCAUUUUUAUCUUUGGGACUAAACCGGUAUAACUCCCUUUUUGUUGGAAUUUAUUUUGGAUCACACCUCUAUCUAAACCUAUCCCGAAAAACCUUUAAUUCCUCUACAUCGAUCCAAAAUAUUCUAGGGUCAAGUUCCUAUUUUGAUCGAGCCACCUGUUUGAUUCCUAUGGCUUGAUUUCCUCCUCGGCACAAGAACUAUACUAUCACAAAUAAUUGAGUGAUUGCUCUUGUGCUAAGAAACUUAUUUCCAAUCCCUUCUAUUCAAAGUCCAACUUCCUUUAGCCACAAAUAUUUCAUCAAGAAUCCAUACCACAUAUUUUGGAGGCUAAAAUCCUAAUUAUUUACCCCCAUCUAUUUUUGACGUCAUCCCAAAAUUUAUCUAAAGUUAGAAGAUCAAUUAUUUGUGUUCCUUUUCCUCCCAUUUGAUUAUUUCAAUCUUACAUUUUAAAUAUUAAAGAAAAUCUUUUGUGACAAUUUUUAUAUUUGGUUCUUAUUGAAUUCUAUAAAAUUGGAGCAUUUUGAUCCUUAUUGAAUUCUUUUAAAGAUUGGAGCAUCUUUAUUUUUAUUUUAAAAUAAAUAUCUUUGAUUUUAUUUUAAAAAAUAUUUCAAACUCCUUUUGCUUUAAAACCCUUAUUCAAAAGACCCCCAAAUAUUUCUCUUUUAAAUCUAUUAAAACCCUCCAUUCAAAUUUUCCCUUAGUUUUCAUCUCCUUUGAAAUUCCAUUUCAAAUCCCUCCACACAAAAUUCAUAAAACCCCUAUUCAUUUUGGGCCAAAUUCCCUUCAAUUAACCCAAUCAGCACAAGUCUACAUGUCUCCUUCCUCCCUCUUGGGCUGUCAGCCCAGCCGAGCCGAGCCAAGCCGGCCCAUGGCCGAGCCGCUCCCUCCUCCUGUGGGCGCACUUGGCGCACGCACAGGGCGCCGCCGUCGCCGCCGUCUCGCCACUUCCCGAUGCCGCCCGCCGUUUUGCGCCGCCGCCGUCGUCUUGCCUUCGAGGCGAAGGAUCCGUCACCAACGUCAGCUGCGACGUCACGCCGCCGACGUCAGCCGCCGAAUCGAACCGCCAUCACCAACCAAUCAACGAACAGAGCUGGCGCCGUGCUCCACUUCUCCACGCCGCCGUCGCUGAGUUCUCCUUAUCUUCCUCCUCCGCAACCGCCUUACGCCACCGCCUCUCGCCGCCUAUAAAAGGACGACGAGGUCCCCUCUUCCUCCACACACAAACCGACUUCCUCAAGCUCUCUUUCUCUCUUUCUCUCCCAUGUCCGGCCAUUAGUACCACUGGCCGAUCUCCCUCACCGGAGCUUCGCAAGACAAACCCUCGCGCCACCAACUCCGCCUCGUCGAGGUGAUUCCAUUUUUUUCCUUUCCCCUCUCCCUCCACCUUAAGAUAAACCGCCACCACCACCUUCUCUUAUCGGCCGGUCUGAGCUUUUGCUACCGCCGUUCCGGCCAUCUCCCUCUCUCCCUCCGCCUUCCACCACUUUCCCCGGGUGCGCGUUGCUCGGGAACACCAUCUCCCACCGGCGUUCCUACCUCCCGGCCACCGGAGAGCUGGCACCUCGCUCGCCCUCCCCUCUGUUUCCUCUCGACUGCCAGACAGAAGAAAAGAAGAAGAGGUAGAAGAAACAUAUGACAAGCGGGCCCCACCUUUUAUAAAACCGUACAACAAGUUCUAUCGGCAUCCAAGGAGCUGACGUGGACCCAGAUGGCUACGCUGAAGCCGCAGGAAAUCUUAAGGCGCAAGGCAAGA